GUUCAGCACUGAGUUAUUUUGUUAAUAUAGCAAAUAUAAGAUGCAGUGUAUGGAAUGACCACAUUCUAGUAUGAGAAAUUAACAAUCCAAGUCCUUCUUGAACGAGGCCAUUUACCCAUAGAGGGUGCCAGGCCCGUAGUGAUGUUAAUGAUUACUAGAGGUUAUUUCCUAAGAGUCGUGUUGCUUGAUAGUGCAGCACUAAUUGGGUGGUAAACUCCAUCUAAAACUAAAUAUAACCAUGAGACCGAUAGCAAACAAGUACCGUGAGGGAAAGUUGAAAAGAACUCUGAAUAGAGAGUUAAAAAGUACGUGAAACUGCUUAGGGGUUAAGCCCGAUGAACCUGAAUAUCUUAUAUGAAAAAUUCAUCACUAGAAAUUUAUUAUUUUAUAAUAAACGAAUAGUGUGCAAUUUUUUCAUAAUAAAGACAUUGUUAUUUGUUAAUGAAUAUAUUAUGUAUAUAAUUUUUAUCAUAAGGACCGCAGGAUAAAGUUUAUUCUUUAUUUAUUUAUUUAAAUAUGAAUAAAAUCCAAAAUAUCUAAUAUUGUGGUAUCCAGAUAAAUGAUUGACAAAUUUUAAGUAUAACGCCAACAUAUUAAAUGUUAUAAUUAAUAUAUAUUCUAUGUAUUAUAUGUUAAAUUAUAUGCGUUCAUACGAUAAACAAUGCUAUAGAUUUAGGAUACCUUCGGGACCCGUCUUGAAACACGGACCAAGAAGUCUAACAUGUGUGCAAGUCAUUAGGUUUGAAUUUAAUUCAUAAAACCUAAAGGCGUAAAUAACUUAACUGUUUAAUGGGAUUAUUUUGUAUAUAUUAAUAUACAAAAUCCAUCCCAGGGCGUUCUAAAGUUAUGUAUUUUAUACUAACUGGAGCGUACCUUGAGCAUAAAUGUUGUGACCCGAAAGAUGGUGAACUAUACCUGAUCAGGUUGAAGUCAGGGGAAACCCUGAUGGAAGACCGAAACAGUUCUGACGUGCAAAUCGAU
rnacentral:rRNA from 1 species